UAAGAAGAAGGGCCAUCGCUCAGUGGCAGAUCACCAGCUUUGCAGAAGACGCCAGGCUCAGACCCCAGCAUCACCAGGUAGGGCUGGGAUAGAACCUAGUCUGGAAUCCUGGAGAGCUGGUGCCAGUCAGUGUAAGCAAUGCUAAGCUUGAUGGACCAGUGGUCUGUCUCAGUAUAAGACAACUUGCUACGCUCCUAAGAACAUAAAGGAGAAGUUCAUUACAUGGUGACCUAGAACACAGCCUUCUCCAUGGUGAAGUCGCAUCUAUUGAAUACCCUCCUCUUUCACCAAUCUUCCCCAACCACAACGAUCGAGAGGAUGGAGUGACACCCCUAUGAGGAAAAGUUGCAGCAUUUGGGGCUUGUUAGUUUAGACAAAAGAACCAAAACAAUACAAAAAGAAAACAACACAAAUCAAUAACUAGUACAAUACAAAAAGAAAAAAAAUUUGGAGACAAAUAUUACAGUUUGGAAUUCAGCGCUGUCCCUGAAGGAAUUGAAGAGAUUGGAGAUAAAGAUAUUAUCGGUUCAAAAAAAUUCCUGGACUGGAAGGAUUUGAUUGAACUUGAAAUGGAGAAAGUUAACAGAAUUAAUCCCUGUUUUGUGUCAAUGGAAAAACCUUCAAGAGAUGUACUAGUGUAUCAUGUGGAAAAGAGGAACAGAGAUGCGGCUUUGCAACAAUACUUCAGUGAUACGUUUGGAUUUGAUGGCAAGAAAAUAUCUGUGAUGGAGGAAAUUCCUAUCAGACUUUUAUUAUAUGACUAUGACAGCAAGAUUUUUGGGUGCGUAAAGAUGGAAGAUGGAAGAUGGUCCCAAUAUGGAUAAUGACAGAAGAGCGAUUUAAAAUUACUGGACUUAGUAGAUUUGAUGAGUUGGAUUAAUUGAUAUGUUUAUUUAGUAAAAAAAUUGAUUGAUAUACAUCUCAAGGAUUGGAAACUUCUCUUUGACUUUUUGUGGAAGAUUAAAAUGAUAGGAUGUUAAUGAGAUUUGAAACCAACUAAGAUAACCGCUGGAGGAAGGUGAUUUUAUAAUCUAUUAAGAGAUAGGUUUGUUAUAUAUUAUAGAUUUAUAGCUGAAUUAUAGCGAUUUGAAAUUACUGGACUUAGUAGAUUUGAGGAGUUGGAUUAAUUGGCAUGUUUCUUUAGAAAAAAAAUUGAUUGACAUGUAUCUCAAGGAUUGGAAACUUCUCUUUGACUUUUUGUGGAAGAUUAAAAUGAUAUGAUGUUAAUGAGAUUUGAAACCAACUAAGAUAACCGCUGGAGGAAGGUGAUUUUAUAAUCUAUUAAGAGAUAGGUUUGUUAUAUAUUAUAGAUUUAUAGCUGAACUAUGACAAAUCGGAAGUCAAUAUUCUUUCUUUUUUUAUAGGAGUCCGAUGCAUUUUUAAUCACUGAGAGAUGAACAACAACCUCCCUUGGUGGCAAGGACAGAAAUACUUUCUGCCCAAGAAGAGCUCAUAGGUUCAUGACUUCUUCUUCCAGUCAAUCUAUUCCAUUUCUGAUCUAACUUGCAACCACAGCAGAUAUAUUCAUGCUGGGUCAGCAAUAUCAAUUUCCCCCUUUCGGCAAAGCAGCACUCACAAAACAUUGUUGAGCCAUCAUGUUAGUUAAUUUACAGUACUAAUUAAAGUCGGUUGGACAGUGUUUUCAGUCAGGUGGCAAUAUUUGUUGUGGCUUUGUUGGCGAGGAUAUUUGCCUUGCCCAGAUCAACUCCCAGACAGGAUGCACCAGACAAUGAGUUAGGAAAACAAGAGGGAGAGACAGGAAGUCCAGGCCCAUUGAUUGCUGACCAGCUGAUAUAUUUUACCGAAACUUCCUUGCAGUAUGGAAACAAAGGCCGUAUCCGCACCUCACAAUUAAAUCAGUGUCAUAUUAAAGGUACAAAAUAAUAAUAAGAAAUAAUAUGUCACAACUACCAAUAAUAACAAUAAGCCACCAUCAGUUGACCUUGUGGAUACAAUAACCAUCAGUACGUGCACCUUGCGUUGUUGUUGUUGUUGUUGUUGUUAUGUGCCUUCAAGUCGGUUACAACUUAUGGUGACCCUAUGAAUCAGCGACCUCCAAGAGCAUCUGUCGUGAACCACCCUGCUCAGAUCUUGUAAGUUCAGGUCUGUGGCUUCCUUUAUGGAAUCAAUCCAUCUCUUGAUUGAGUUAAGCAUAUAAAAUAAUAUAAGCCCUCCAGAUGUCCAAAUAGGUGUCCGCUCAAAACUGAUGUCUACAUGAAAUACGUUUUCAAAAAAGCAUGCUGGUAUUAUAAUUUUUGAGUUGAGAAAUGUGUUCAAACGUUCUGUGAAGUGAAAAAAUCAGAAGCAUAAUUACACUCUGAUCCGUGUAUGAGUUUGGGGGGGGUGCGCGCAUUAGGGCAGUUCACUUAGAAAUGCAGAGUGGCAAUGUAAGAACAUAAGAAAAGCCUGCCAGAUCAGGCCAAUGGCUGAUGUAAUCCAGCAUCCUGUUCUCACAGUGGCCAAUCAGUUGCCCAUGGGAAGCCCACAAGCAGGUCCUGAGUGCAAGAGGACUCUCCCAUCCUGUGGUUUUCAGCAACUGAUAUUUGGAUGCAUACAGCCUCUGACUAUGGAGGCAGAGCAUAGCUACUGUAAUAGCUAUGGAUAGCCCUCUUCGCCAUGAAUUUGUCUAAUCCUCUUUGAAAGCCAUCCAGGUUGGUGGCCAUCACUGCCUCUUGUGGUGGCAAAUUCCAGUUUUUUCUUUUAUCUGUUCCUGAAUUUUCCACCAUUCAGCUUCAUUGGAUGUGCACGAAUUCUAGCAUUAUGAGAAAAGGAGAAAAAAUUUCUGUAUCCACAUUCUCCAUGCCAUGCAUCCUUUUAUACACUUCUGUCAUAUCGCCUCUUACUCUCCUUUUCUCUAAACUAAGAAGCCCCAAAUGCUGCAAUCUUUCCUCAUAGGGGAGUCGCUCCAGCCCCUUGAUCCUUCUGGUUGCCCCGUUUUGCUUCUUCCCAAUCUCUAUGCCUAUGCUACGAUAACACACAUGGGCUAGGUUAGGUGUGCCGACAUAGCCAGAAAGGUAAACACCCAAUCUAUGAGAAAUGUCAUGCAAUAAUCUAUUCCAUGGGUUACUCAUUCCUGCCCUGAGCUAAUGCAUUGUUUCAAAACCCCCUCAUUCUGAAGAAAAUGUCUCAGGUGACUUGGAAACGUACCUCCCAGUGAGACAAGAUUGGCAACUUCAGCUAGGGUGUAACUUCCUUGGCUAUCUCGUGAAGGGUGGCUGGCCAAGGUUGCAAAUGAAUGACAUCAGCUUGCAAAGGAAAAAUGGGCCACCAGAAAUCACUUUGCCCAGCGAUGACUGACAAUGAUUAAUUUCUUGCAACCAAAACAGCUGUUGUGUUUGCUAAAUCUCUUCUGCUCCUGAGAUAACAUUCAUGCUUAACUGAAGAGGGCUGUUCCUGGCCACCUGGAGGUCACUAGAUGGAAGAUUAUUGUUAAGCUGUAAUUGUGUUUUAGACUAGAUGGAAGAUUAUUGUUAAACUGUAACUGUGUUUUAGAAUGUUAUCAAACUGUUUUUAGGAUGUUUCUUUUGUCUUUUUUGUUGUAGUUAAACUGUUUUGCUAUAUUUGCCAUCCUGGGCUC